CUCUGUGUUUACAUCAGCUGGCUUGUUUGUUUACAUCAACUGGUUUGUUUGAGUGCUCCAGCAUAAACUGUUAACCAUUCUUUUUGCAGCACAACGUUGCAUAUAAGAAGUGAUAAUGCUGUAUCUUGAGGACUUUCUGGAGGUUAUAGAACAAAUACCGCAAGAAAUUCGUGAUCGGACUACAGACUUGCGUGAAUUGGACUUGGGGAUCCAAAACACCUCUGACCAGUUAGAGGAGCAGAUCAAAACCUUCUUUGGGAAUGCGAGAAAAAUGAAGCCCCAGGACAGAGAUGCUGAGUAUGAGAAGAUAAGGAAGGAGUACUACAAACUGUUAGAUGAUGCUGACGAAAAGGUGAACAUUGCCACGAACAUGCACGACCUGCUGGAACGAUAUAUGAGGAAAUUAGAUCAAGAACUGGAAAAAUUCAAGUGCGAACUCGAGGCAGAUAGUCCAGGAAUUACAGAGGUUUUGGAGAAAAGGUCUUUAGAAUUAGAUGAGCCCAUUAGAGACAACCAGAAAGAAAACCGCUAUGUAGCCAUGAACUCGAGCUCUCGUACGGAACGCCGGCAGUCAUCUACUGCGGCGGCAGUGUCUGUUAAAAAGGAAGAAAGAGUGGAACCUAAUUUGACAUCAAGCAUGUCUGUAUCUCCACCACCAGCGUCAACUAUCUCCUAUACACUAGGGCACAUGGGGGCAGGCAGUAAUGCUAUUGCAGCUGCAGCAUCUCAGGCAAUUGCAGCAACUCAGCAAAUGCAGCAGGGUCGCCGUACAGCAAGUUUAAAGGCCUCAUAUGAUGCAAUUACCUCAGGAGUUCAGCCAACUGAAUUCUCAAUAGGCAGUGAAUUAGCAAAUGCAGCACAGACUGCUCUCGCAGCAUCAGCUUUGCCCCAAGAGACCUGCAGCACCACAAAUAGUAGUAGCACAAGUACAGGUUCAAGUAACAAGAAACAGAAGAAGAAGCAUAGCUCAGUUAGCAGUCUAGCUGCUGCUGCAGUCAUGGAAGCUUCACCUGCCCCUUCAGAGGAUCUCUUGCAGGAAGCACUUAUUGACCCAAAUUCUGAAAAUCCUGAUUGGACGUAUGACCCUAAUGAACCACGUUAUUGUAUCUGUAAUCAAGUUUCUUACGGCGAUAUGGUUGCUUGUGAUAACCCUAAGUGCCCAGUGGAAUGGUUUCAUUAUCCGUGUGUUGGUAUUACUGCACCACCAAAAGGAAAAUGGUACUGCCCCCAGUGUGCUGCUGCUAUGAAUAGACGAGCAAGAAAGUGAGAUGACGGGGGUGCUGAAUCAAGUGAUAGUAUUGAGAAAACAUAAAAGGAAACCAUAAAAUACUGAGAAACAGUUUAUCUUGAUAUAGAUAUGUAUAAUACAAAACUGAAAAUUAUAUAACAGGUUAAAGCACAAAAAUAUGCUUUGGAUUAUAAUGACUUUUAAUGCUGGCCAUAUAAUUUUUGCAUUCUCCAAAUAUUUCAGUAAAAAUUAUGAUUUUAAUAGGUAAGAGAUUUAAUAACGUGAAUGAAUGAAUACGGUAUACAGUAUUCUCUUUAAAUUACGAUUGUCAUUUAAUCUAGUGUUAGCAUACAUCUGUAUAAUAAAUGCAGUAUGGUAGAUGAUGCUAAAUACAUAGUAUAGUAAAUGUAUCAAAAUAAUGGUUGUGAAAUUAAUUAUUCAAAGAAAAUUGGAUAGAGAUAAUAGAUUAAGAAAUUUUUGAAAAUUUUCUAGAGGUGAUUACAUAGGUGGAGGGGUAUUCAUAGCAGCUCUGCAGAUAGGUAAUAGCAUUUAAAAUUUUUUAAAUACACUCAACUGCUGCAGUGCUGAAUGACCUAUAUGGAUUGAAUUUUUUUAAUAUGCUGUACUGAUAAUCCCAGUUGUUGCACAUGUUUGUAUCAUUACAUCUCAAACAUGGCUUUAGAAAAUUUGAUUAGGAGACAAUGGCAGAUUUUGUCAUGUAAAUUCAUUAAAGUCUGCGAAUUAAGCAAACUGAUAGUGUGAAUAGUGAGUUUAGGUCAUAUUUAUUUAUGAAAUGAGAAUUUGUAUAAAUAUUGACAGGGACUCUUGUCGGUUAUUUGUACAGCAGUAUUGAAAUAGGGAGGGGGGAGUGUCACUGCUGGCAGUUGUAUGAUUAGACAGUGUGAAUAGUCAGUUUGCAAUAGUACAUAUACUUUUUUGAUGGAGGAAUUAUACUGACCUAUCAAUCAGAGGGUCUUAACUUUCAUUCUCUUGAAAAAGCAGUGUGUUUGUAGCUACAGUACAGUAAACCUUUUAUAGACUGACCUCAGUAUAACAGACUUAAAAGUAAUAGGAAAAAAACCCUGGGAAAAUUGUACUUUUAGCUCCUCUAUUUUCAAUAUUUAUUUCAAUAUAUGUGUACAGGACUGUUUGGUAUACAGUAGAGUACUUAAUUGUUUUUUUUUCCUUUGCUGCUUUCUAAUAUAAUGAUUUAACAGACAUUUGAGCAAUUCUCAUUAUUAGUUUGUUAUAGUGAUGGUUUAUUGUAUUUAUUAAAGUGGUUGAAAUUAGUCUCUUCUAGUAAUGUACCAUAUAUGCUACAAUCUCCACUGAUAUUUUGUAAAGAGCCACUUGUUGAUUAUUGUUCAGCCAAAUGAUGUACCCUCCUUUCACUCAAUCUGUGAUAAUGAAUCCAGACUCAAGAAUGUGUUAGCUUGUUAACCUUGUCCAGACUCAUCGGUGUGGUUAUUAUUAUAACCUGCUACCUAUAUAUUCUAGUGUGUAUGUAUGAGUUUAUAACAUUACAGUGAUACAUUGUAAAUUCUGGUAUGCAUGUAUGUGUGUAUGUAACAUUACAAUGACUUUUUUAAAGGAAAUUUAUAUUACAGAUUGCGUCCCCUGUACUUGGGGUUGGCCAAACUGUCUUUUAUAUAGAAAUAGGUGAGGCAUAUUUGUACCUAAUGUAAAAUCAAAUUGCUUUUCCUGCAUGUGUACCAGUAUACAUUUUGACUCUUGGUGUAGUUGAUAGGAUAUUUGCAGGACUCGUAAGAAAAUACAGUAAAUAAUUUAGAUCAUUGAAUUCUAAGGGAGUUGUGUACAGUAAACUUUGAUUACAUGGGCUAUGGAAAUUGGGAACAGAAUCUACUUGGUUGCUUAAUUUGGAAACUCCAGACAGAGUUCGUUGGAUGCAAAAUUGACCAUUUUUGUUAUGAUCACAGUAGGACAACCUUGUUUCUGUCCACCACAAUCUCCAUUAUCUUCCACCACUUCCUCUGUUAGUCCAUUAAAUAAAGGGUUUACUUGUAACAUUAAUGGUAUGCAAUACUGACAAGUUGAUGACUAACACCUAGAUAUCUUUAUUCUUAAGCUGUUAUGCCAGCCAGUGACAUUUAUCAAUUCAGUACUGAGAUUAUUUGCAGAUGUUGAAACUAGAAAUAGUAGAAGAUAAGGUAAUUAGUCCCUCAGCCUAGAAAAUGGUGUUCACCACUUUAGUCACGAUGAAUCUGACUCGUGGGCAGGAGGAUGGACACUUACGUAAGAGUCAGAUGAGGUGCAGCCAUAGAUGGCAUCAUCACCAGUGGGUGGUACCUGCUAAUGAUAUUAAGUCAUGCCCAAAAGUUGGGCCAGAGGUUAGCAAACAGGUUAAAGAUAUCCUCUGCACCAAAAUCCCAUGGUGUUGCUGUUUCCAACAAUCAUCAUACCACUAAUUCUAUGAUACUUGUCCUCUUCAAGGGGGGCUCCUUGGCGUGGUGAAGAGACUCUUGGUCUGAGGAAUUAGACCUGUCGGUCUCCUUCCUCAGACCAAACCUAAUUACCCCCCAAUGCCCCCUUCCCUCUCCCAUCCUCCCCUUUUUCCUUUCCUCCUCCUCCUCCCCACCCCUCCCUUUUGCCCUUCCUUUUUGGCCUUUGGGAUUUUUUUCCCACAGGCGCGCGCUAGUUCCUAGGUAGGGGAAAGGGUACCGGGAUCCAUCCCAUUCCGUUGAGGUGCUUGGCGGUGGCGUAGUUUGCCAUGGAAUCUGGAUUGCCUGGGGAUGUCCCGAUCCCUCUCUGGUAUCCCGGAGGGUGGCUUUGGGUGUCUUUCGGGCGACGGGUGUAUCUCUGGAAGCCACCUUUCGGAUUCCGGGGGUGGUGGCUGAAGGAGGUAUGCUUUGUGGCGGAUAUCCGGCCGCCCUCUCUUUUGUCCACCGAGGUAGCUCGGCAGAUGUGAGGUUGCUAUCCCAGAUUCCUGGUUUACUGGCAUGAUGGGUAGGGUAUGGCACGGGUUCCAUGCUACAUCUGCGCUACUUGCGGUGCUGAGGUCCUCUUGGGCGCGGAGGGAGAUUUCUGGCCCUUUCAUUCCUCCUAGGAACUAUCCCUCCCUGGUCCCCCCCUUUUUUUAUUUUUUUUAUUUUUAUUUUCUUUUCUUUCUUUUUUUUUCUUAAAAACAAAAAGAAAGAAGUAACCUAACCAUGGAGUACCCGAUCCAUGACCCCGCUACCCCCGGGCCCCUUAUUGUUACCGCACCCCGUUCUGACCUCGCCUCGUCUUUUGGCCACUCUUCAGACAUUCCUAAGGCCCCUGUACCUCUUGCUGGUGCUGUUUCCUCACCUGCUUCAGGUACCAGGGCUUCCACUGACUCCUUCGAUUUGUCUGACCUCCGCUCUCCUUUGACUAUGCUUCCGGCUUCUCCCUCUACGGUGUGGCGAUUUUCGAAUCGCCGGCCUGUCCCACGUCGGACCAACUCUAGUCCCACUUCUAAAUGUCAACGACAAUCUCCUAAUGAUGUUACUUCGUUACCUUCCCUUUCUACUCAGAAAAGACCGACACGUCAUGCACUCCCUCUCCACACUCUGUUUCAGACCACACAAUGGACUAAAUUCUUUACAUUAAGACCGACUUCUACUGUCUAUCUUUCCAACCAUAGUAUUGGCAAAGCGCUCCUAUGCCACGUUGGUAGAGAUAUUUCCUUUCAUGCUCUUAAGAGUGGUACUCGCAUCAUCACAGUCCAGAAUUCUUCCCAAGCUCAUGAUCUUUCUCUUCUUUCACAUAUCGAUACUAUUCCUAUCACUGUCGAAAAACAUCAUUCCCUCAAUUCUUGUAGUGGUACUGUUAUUCUGCCCCAUACCAUAGUCCAACAGAAUUUCCAGACAUGUGGCACUGACAUUCUCAAACAGCUGGAACUCCAAGAUCUCCCAAUUCUCAAGGUAGACACUUAUGUUCUUCCUGCCCACGGGCAAAGAUGAUACCCUUGCAAUGUGGCUCGUUUAACUUUUGACAGCCGUGAACUCCCAUCCUCUGUUUAUGUAGCAGGACAUCGGUUACAAGUUCGGAAGGUGAUCCCUACACUGUAACACUGUAGGAAUUGCUGGCGACUUGGCCACCCAGCAAAAUAUUGCAGAUCUAUAGCCGAAUGCCCAGUCUGUGGUGCUGAUGAUCAUUCUAAUACGUCUUGCAGUCGAACUCCCUCUUGCCUUAACUGUCAUGAGGCUCACCCUUCGUACUCUCGCCGUUGCCAAGUCAACUUAAAUGAGCGGUAAAUUCGUUGCCUCAAAGAGGCAGAAGGUCUCCCUUAUGCUAUGGCAGUUUCUCAUCUCCGCCUCCAAGGGAGACUGCCCAGUGUUUCUUAUUCUCGUGUUUCAAAGCGUCCCCCCACUUCUGGGGUCACAUCUUCUGCAGCCUCCUCUGCGGUUGCCAGUCCCAUAGUCACUCCUGUAUCUAAUUCUUUUGCUGUCCUGGGCUCAGACGUCCCUACUUCAACUACUCAGUCUGUCCUUACUUCUUCGUGUCCUCCCUCACAAACCCCGGUAUUGACAAGACCUCGUACGACACCUCCUCCCAAUCGUCCCUCUACUUCUCAGAGGCCCAAAAAAUCUCCUUUAACCCCUCCUUCCCUUCAUCCACCUCCACAUUUUACCUUCCCGGUCUCUGUACCUGAGUCUUCCCCUUUCACUGGCUCUGUUACAAGUGUGGAGGUUCAUCCUUCUCCUCAAAAUGUGCCUUCCUCCCCUGUACCCUCCCAAGUUUCUUCCUCUUCUACCACCUCCCAGGUUUCUGCCUCUUCUGUCCCCUCCCACACUUCUCCAGUUCCCUCCACCCUUUCGCCCCCACCCCCUACCUUGGUACAGUCCAUUACAGCUCCGAUCUUUACUCAAACUCCUCCUCCUUCCAUCUCCAAUAUUGUCUCCCAUACGACGUCUCUGAACUCCGAAACACUUGAAGCAAUCUCUGAAUAUAUUGCAGAGACCAAACCAUCAAUGGACACUGAUCCACCCUCUGUUCCUUCUCUUUCCUCUUCUCCAUCUGCACAACUCCUUCACAACGCACCGUUCCUUCGCUACUUGAACCUUUUCCUUUGCCACCGCAUGUGGACUUUUCUAACCCCUCUAGUCCAUAGGUACCCUUACCUGUGGAUUUCAGGUAUCUUUAUUGUUGCCAAUCAUGGCCUAUUUACAGUGGAAUAUUCGCGGCCUCAGGGGUAAUUGGGGUGAGCUUCAGAUGUUGCUCUCCCAGUUUUCCCCUGUUGGUGUUUGCUUACAGGAACCAAAAUUACACUCUGCCGUUAUCUAUCCUAUCUCAGGCUAUAAUUUAUUGUAUUCUUCAGAUCCUUUUCCUGAUGGGACCUUUAAUGAAAGUGCCCUUCUUCUACGCACUGAUAUUCCGUACCAUCAGCUAUUUGUUCGUACUUCGCUGCAUUACACAGCAGCCCGUAUCCACUUUCAGAGGUGGUAUACACUCUGUUCUUUGUAUCUCUCUCCUUCUCGGGCAUUAUCUAUCCCAGAUAUUGCCUUUCUUGUUCCGUCAUUACCGCCACCACUUCUUUUACUUGGCGAUUUUAAUGCCCAUCAUUUCCUCUGGGGGGGGGGGUCUCACUGUGAUUCCCGUGGCAUUCAGUUAGAGGCUUUUCUUGCUACCCACCCCCUCCCUGUUUUAAAUACAGGUACACCCAUUUUGAUCCUCAGACUCAUACUCUCUCUUGUAUCGAUCUCUCAGUCUGCUCUUCCUCCGCCGCAUUAGACUUCACCUGGUCUGUUCUCCCGGAUUUACAUGACAGCAAUCAUUUCCCAAUCAUUCUUACUUCCCCUUCAUAUUCACCACCUCUUCAUAACCCACGCUGGCAAUUUGAUCAGGCAAAUUGGAACCUUUACUCACAACUAACUGUUUUUAGUGAGGUUCCUUCUUCGUCCUCCAUUGAUGAGCUUUUACACCUCUUCUCAUCCUCCGUUUUAACUGCAGCUUCUCAUUCUAUACCCCAAACUUUGGGCAGGCAUUCUCAGAAAUGCGUGCCUUCUUGGUCUCCUGCUUGUGCUCAUGCAGUACGUUUGAAACGCGCUGCGUGGGGCAGGUACCAGUACAAUAGAACCACGGAGAGACUUCUUGAUUUUAAGCAGAAGCGUGCGAUUGCUCGCCGUGCCAUCCGUGACGCUAAACGCACUUGCUGGCAAGAUUAUGUCUCCACCAUCACCUCUGCUUCCUCUAUGAGUGCAGUCUGGAAAAAGUACGAAAACUGACUGGCAAAUAUUCUCCUGACCCGGCUCCUGUUCUGCAGGUUGCCGAUGUUGAUAUAGCAAACCCACUAGAUGUUGCCAAUGAAAUUGGCAAUCAUCUGGUCCGUAUUUCUCAGGGGCUCCAUCUGUGCCCCUCGUUUCUUUCCUCAAAGUCUGCCAGAGAGUUAGCACCCUUGGACUUUUCUUCUCUCAGAGAAGAACAGUAUAAUGUGCCUUUUGCACUUCAGGAACUGGAGGCAAUACUCUCAGCUUGCCGAUCAUCGGCAGCUGGGCUCGACAAUAUUCAUAUUCGUAUGCUACAACAUUUACAUCAGUCAGCCCUUGCAGUCUUAUUACGCCUUUUCAAUCUUAUUUGGUCUCAGGGAGUUCUUCCACAGCUGUGGACAUCUGCCAUUGUUCUCCCUUUCCGCAAACCUGGUACUACGGGACAUGACGCCUCCCACUAUCGUCCCAUUGCUCUUACCAGUGUAGUUUGCAAAGUGAUGAAACGCCUAGUAAAUAGACGUUUAGUGUGGUAUUUUGAGACACACAGCAGUCUCUCCACUCGUCAAUAUGGCUUUCAUAAGAUCCGUUCUACCAUAGACCCCUUACUACGCUUGGAUACGUAUGUUCGUAAUGCCUUUGUGAAUAACCACUCAGUUAUUGCCAUAUUUUUUGACCUUGAGAAGGCAUAUGACACAACUUGGAGGUAUAAUAUUUUGGCCCAAGCCCACUCCUUAGGCCUUCGAGGCAAUCUACCAUCCUUCCUUAAGAACUUUUUAACCGACAGACAUUUCCGUGUUCAGGUUAAUAAUGUGCUCUCCCCGGACUUUAUCCAAGCUGAAGGUGUUCCCCAGGGAUGUGUUCUGAGCACAACACUUUUUCUCCUUGCUAUAAAUGAUUUGGCCUCUAGUCUUCCAUCAAAUAUUUGGUCAUCACUCUAUGUUGAUGACUUCGCUAUUGCCUGUGCAGGUGCUGACUGCCACCUCAUUACAGUUUCUCUCCAACAUGCAGUCGACCGUGUUUCGAAUUGGGCCACCGCACAUGGGUUUCCAGCACUAAAACCCACCAAAUUACUUUCACUUGACGCUCUGUCAUCUCCGAUCAUCCUUUGUACCUCUAUGGCUCCCGUAUCCCUGAACGUGAUACAGUCAAGUUUCUGGGCCUCAUCUUUGACCGUAGGUUUUCCUGAAAACCUCACAUUACCUCUCUGAAGGCAACUUGUCACAGCCGGCUGAACCUUCUUAAAACCCUUGCUCAUCUUUCAUGGGGAGCUGAUCGUCGAACCCUCCUUCACCUACAUUCCACCCUCAUUUUAUCGAAACUUGAUUAUGGUGACCAGAUCUAUUCAGCGGCAUCUCCUGCUACUCUCUCUAGCCUUAACCCCAUUCAUCACCAAGGAUUACGUUUAUGCAUUGGUGCUUUUCACUCUUCCCCUGUUGAGAGCCUCUAUGCAGAAGUGAACGUUCCAUCCUUAUCCGAUCGCCAUGAUGCCCAUUGCCUUUGCUACUAUGUACGCUCUCAUCAUCUACGCAAUCCUUCCAUUUAUAGAAUGGUCACUGAUAUUAGUAGACAUUAUUUGUUCGCCGCCCCUGUUUACUCCAUCCCUUCUCUCUUCGCCUUCAUUCGCUCUUGUCUUCUCUUCAAUUACCACCUUUCUAUGUUCAUGUAGUAUCUCACUUUUCCCUACCCCCCUGGGAAAUUCCAGCUGUUCGAGUCAGUUCUUUCUCUCUCCCUUGCUCGAAAGCCCAACUGUCUACGGUCGCUUCCCGCUCUCUUUUUCUUGACCACUUCCACUCUCAUUCUCAUGCCAUUGCUGUGUACACAGAUGGCUCUAAGUCUUCUGACGGCGUAGGAUUCGCAGCAGUGUUUCCGGACAGCAUCGUAUGAGGGCAUUUACUAUCUUCGGCUAGUAUUUUUACUGCUGAAUUGUAUGCCAUCCUUGCAGCACUUAUCCGUAUUGCAUCUAUGCCUGUGUCAUCAUUUGUGGUUGUCUCAGACACCCUUAGUGCUUUACAGGCUAUACAAAAAUUUGAUACACCUUACCCCUUAGUCCUCCGUAUCCAACUUUGGCUACGCAGCAUCUUUACCAAGCAUAAAGAUAUUGUUUUUUGUUGGGUCCCUGGUCAUGUUGACAUACAGGGCAAUGAACAGGCAGACACUGCUGCGCGGUCAGCAGUACAUGACCUACCAGUUUCAUAUAGAGGUAUUCCAUUUACGGACUAUUUUGCUACAAUAUCUUCCCACCUUCACACCCGUUGACAACAACGUUGGUCUACUAUGCUCGCUAACAAACUUCAAUCUAUUAAACCGAGUAUAGGUUACUGGCCGUCUUCUUAUCACCAGUGUUGAGGUUGGGAGACUACUCUCUCCCAUCUUCACAUUAGCCAUACUCGUUUUACUCAUGGAUAUCUCAUGGAGAGGCGCCCUGCUCUUCUCUGUGAGAAUUGCCAGGCUCUAUUAUCAGUCAGCCACAUUCUGUUGGACUGCCCACUUUAUCAACGAGCACUCAGAAUUUACCUCCGUCGUCAUCUUUGCUCCGCUCCUCUCUCUUUACCUUCCCUUCUCGCUGAUGGACCCACCUUUCAUCCGGACUCUCUCAUUGACUUUUUGACAACAACUGACUUACUUCACAAAUUCUGAUACCUUCAGCCCUUUCUACCUCAAUCUCUUGCUACCCUCUACCCCCGUACUAUCCCCUGCCCCGCUGUUUUCUGUAACCUACUGAUCAUCCCUCCUCCUUUCUGCCGCCCAAUACCCUCGCUUCCUUCCCUACCGUGCAGCGCUGUAUAGCCCUUGUGGCUUAGAGCUUCUUUUUGAUUAUAAUAAUAAUAACUCACUUAGGGAGCUUAUAGUUAAUGCGCUUAAUGAAGCUAGUUCUGAGUUAAACAGUCUACAAUAAAGCCUUAUCAUGAAUGUGAACUGUAAGCCAACUAAAUGUUUUACUUUUCACAGGAUUGUUGGUCUAUACAGUGGACCCCUGGUAUUCGAUAGCAUCGCUAUUCGAUAAAUCCGACAUUCGAUGCAUUUUAACGCAAAAAUUUUGCCUUGGUAUCCGAUUGAAAACCUGGUAUUCGAUAUGAUUCAUACGAGACGUGUCCAUGUGUGGCCUGAACAGCCGUGUGUGUGUGCCAGUGUUUACAAGCCAGCCAGUGUGCGCGCAUCUAAGGAUACAUUUGGUACAUUCCAUAUUAUCACUGUUUUUGGUGCUUGUUUCUGCAAAAUAAGUCACCAUGGGCCCCAAGAAAGCUUCUAGUGCCAACCCUGUGGUAAAAAAGGUGAGAAUUAGUAUGAAAAUUAAGAAAGAUUUUGAAGGGUUUGGGGCUAACCCUGAGAAGCCUAUGCCAGUUGUGGAAUCCAUUGUGCCUACUUCAAAAAUUAAGGAAAUGUGUGCACAGUGGGUUGAACUACAAACCUUUAUGGAUGAAAAUCACCCUAACACAGCUAUUGCAAGCCGUGCUGGUGACUAUUACAAUGACAAUGUUGUGGCCCAUUUUAGACAAAUCGUAAAGGAACGGGAGGUACAGGGCUCUAUGGACAGAUUUGUUGUGCGACAGAGGUCCAGUGACUCUCAAGCUGGUCCUAGUGGCAUUAAAAGAAGAAGGGAAGUAACCCGGAAAAGGACUUGCUACCUCAAGUCCUAAUGGAAGGGGAUUCCCCUUCUAGACACUAACACCAUCCACACUCUUUCCUCCUCCCAUCCCAUCAAUCAUCACCAGAUCUUCAAUAAAGGUAAUUGUCAUGUAACUGUGCAUGUCUUCUUCAGCUUGUGUGUAUUAAAAUUAAUAUUUCAUGUGGUAAAAUUUUUUUUUUUUCAUACUUUUGGGUGUCUUGCACGGAUUAAUUUGGUUUCCAUUUUUUCUCAUGGGGAAAAUUGAUUCGCUUUUCGAUAUUUUCGGUAUUCGAUGAGCUCUCAGGAACGGAUUAAUAUCGAAUACCGGGGGUCCACUGUAUAUAUCUUUCUGUGUCUUGAUCAUGUAUGAUGGCAACUAAACAUGAGGGCCUGGUCCCAGAUCUACAUACUGUGAAAGCUUAUUGGAUUGAGAGAUGGGAGGAGGUGUAAAAUACACCCAGUGAAAAGCAGGGGUUCCAUAUGUACAAUAUAAAUACACUGUAUCAACAUCUGUGACCUAAUGCUCUCCAACUUACUACCACCAGAUUUCAGAAAGAUUGCCAGAACAAAUGUAGUAGUCUUAAAGAGUAAACUGGAUCAUUACUAAUGCACUGCCAGAUCAACCAAGCUGUGAUGGUUAUGUGAGCCUGUGGGCUGCCAACAGCAAUAGUCUGGCUGAACAGUCAAUCAACAGAGAAUCCUGGCCCCAGGCUGAGAUGUGAGGGGUAGAAAAUCUCUCAAUAUCAGUCAUGGAUAACUGCUUGCAUUCAGUAUUUGCUUACCUUUCCUGUGUGUUUCCUAAUAAAAUAGUACUGUACUUAUUCUGUAAUUCUGUUUUCCAUUUCAGUUUAGGAGUCCUUGUGAGAGAUUUGGCUAUAGGGUUGAUGGUCUCUUGAACAUUGAACAAAUAGAAACAUUAAAAAUGUUAAUUACUGUGCAGAAUUUAAUACUGUAUUCAUUAUUACACAUCAUAGUUUGUCACUCAUCCUUAUUAUACAAGAUGACUACACAGUUGCCUCUGUUAACAGGAUCAUAAGUAAAAUAGAGUAUUUUGCAUAGAUUUUUUUAUCAAUAUUAGUAUAUCAAUGAGAAAAAACAUCCUAUUUAUAAAUGACCUGUAUUGUACUUAUUUAUUUUUAUACUAUAUUGUACUGCUUUAAAAUAGUGUUGAGAAUAUGGUAGCAGCUUUGUUUUAUUCUAAAUGUAGCUCGAUUGUGAUUAAGUGUAAAUUCUUUCCAAAUUAAUAAUGAUCUAGAGGAAAUAAAUGAAGAGAAUUUUAAGUAUAUGAGGUACUAACUUAGUACUGAGGUUAGCAUAAUGCAUACAUCUUUGAAUGUUGAGAAGGGUAGUAAAUUUUGGUUAGUCAUGACUUGGCACUGGUUUUUAUGUACGUACUAUACUACUGUAAGAGGGCUAAUGCUUACUGUAUUGAAUUUAAUAAGAAUGAGAUUUAUUUUUCUGAUUAUCUUUGCCUGAUGGGUCACGAUUUCCUAAUAAUGCAUCUUGUCAGCUUUAUAAUGUGUACUAUGUGUAUUCCUUGUAUAGCCUUUCCUCACUUAGCGAUGUGCUCAUUUACCGAUGCCUCGGACUUACAGCGGGCUCUCUGACCAGUAUUCAUACCUAAAUAAUGUGUAUUAGAGCUGAUUUCCUCUAUUCUGUUUAUUUCAAUAUACAGUACACUACUGUAUAAACAUUUAAAAAUAUACCAGAAAUAUUAUAAAUUUUGCAAAGGUGACAUUAAAACAAUAUCAAAGAUGAUUAACACAAACUCACUACCAUUAUAGUAUGCUCCUCACUUAGUGACGAAUUGGUUUAACGACAUGGUGUUAGGAAUGGAACUCUGUCAUCAAGUGAGGAGAGGCUGUAUAUAUAUUUUCUCUGCUGAUUGUUAAGCAGAUGACAUUUCCUAGGCUGAUUGUUAUAUGAUGAUAUUUGGUUCUGAUUUAUUAUUAUAAGGAGUCAAAAGCUAAAGCCUGUAAUAGGAUAUUUUUUUUUUGUGGCUACUGGUUGUAGUAUAUUCCUCCAUGUUGUUUUACAGGUUUCCAUUUCACUUUCACUUGGCAGGACAGUAGUACCUUCCUGGUUGACUGCUGUCUACCAACCACUACCUAGGUCCAUUUUUGUUAUUAAUAAAAUAUACCUAUUAAGAUGUUUACCCUUGCCAUGUUGGUUUUAAUGGAAGAUAAGUCCACUCCACCCUUGCUACUCUAUAAUCCUGCACUAUCCUCUGCCCUGCUGUGCCAUAUGACCCUUGUAGGUUUAGUGCUUGUUUUUUAUUAUAAUAAUAAUGGAAGAUAAGUAACUUGAUGUAUUUGAUAUAUCCCAGAAAUUUAAUCUAAAUUUCUGGAUGAUUGCAACAAAUACAAUCUUUUCAACAUUCAGAUAAUAAAUGUUUCCUGCAUCUAUCUUGUAUGAUCAUGUGUUUACACAUAUUUUUUUCUGUGUCAGCAUGGUAAUCCACAUGCUUUUUUCCUGGGACCGAAAGGAGGUAUCCAUAAUAAAAUGUCCUAGUGUUUGCUAAUGUGGCUUUAACCACAACUUGUUGGUAUCAUAUACCAGAUUUUUACCAUGGUAGUCAAAUAUAUAUUAAUCUAAAAUUUGAGUAGCUGUUUUUGUCAUUAAAUUUAGGUGAAGCAUUAUUGUAUUGAAAAUAAUUAGCAUAGAGUUACACAUAGAUUGUAUAUGAGACCUAACUGAUGACUUAGGAUGAAGUGUUAAUUCUAAGAUUGUAUAUUGCUUUGCCUUUAAUUUAAAGUAUGGUUUUGUAAAGGUCUUAAAUAUACUUCAGUGAGAGAUUACUGGAAUGUAACUUUUAUACUGUAUACCAUUUUAUUGUAGAUGUUCAUAAAUGUGAUAUAUAAAUUUGUCUAUAUGUAUAUAUAAGAUUCAUUACAGUGUUGUUUAGAUAUUUUUUCUUUCAUUGAAACCUCUGUGCCAAUCCGGUCUUUAAGAAGUGUUGGAAAACACUGCAAUUGGUUGAAGAUGGACCUGUACCUCCUGCUCCUACUGAAAAUCAAGCUACUGUUAAUGUUAAGGCUUGUGGACUAAACUUCUAUGACAUAUAUGUCCGGCAAGGCUUAAAUCCUGAGACACAGCCAC